CACGGAUCCAGACUUUGAUUAUGGCUCAGGACGAACGCUGGCGGCGUGCCUAAUACAUGCAAGUCGAACGAACUCUGGUAUUGAUUGGUGCUUGCAUCAUGAUUUACAUUUGAGUGAGUGGCGAACUGGUGAGUAACACGUGGGAAACCUGCCCAGAAGCGGGGGAUAACACCUGGAAACAGAUGCUAAUACCGCAUAACAACUUGGACCGCAUGGUCCGAGUUUGAAAGAUGGCUUCGGCUAUCACUUUUGGAUGGUCCCGCGGCGUAUUAGCUAGAUGGUGGGGUAACGGCUCACCAUGGCAAUGAUACGUAGCCGACCUGAGAGGGUAAUCGGCCACAUUGGGACUGAGACACGGCCCAAACUCCUACGGGAGGCAGCAGUAGGGAAUCUUCCACAAUGGACGAAAGUCUGAUGGAGCAACGCCGCGUGAGUGAAGAAGGGUUUCGGCUCGUAAAACUCUGUUGUUAAAGAAGAACAUAUCUGAGAGUAACUGUUCAGGUAUUGACGGUAUUUAACCAGAAAGCCACGGCUAACUACGUGCCAGCAGCCGCGGUAAUACGUAGGUGGCAAGCGUUGUCCGGAUUUAUUGGGCGUAAAGCGAGCGCAGGCGGUUUUUUAAGUCUGAUGUGAAAGCCUUCGGCUCAACCGAAGAAGUGCAUCGGAAACUGGGAAACUUGAGUGCAGAAGAGGACAGUGGAACUCCAUGUGUAGCGGUGAAAUGCGUAGAUAUAUGGAAGAACACCAGUGGCGAAGGCGGCUGUCUGGUCUGUAACUGACGCUGAGGCUCGAAAGUAUGGGUAGCAAACAGGAUUAGAUACCCUGGUAGUCCAUACCGUAAACGAUGAAUGCUAAGUGUUGGAGGGUUUCCGCCCUUCAGUGCUGCAGCUAACGCAUUAAGCAUUCCGCCUGGGGAGUACGGCCGCAAGGCUGAAACUCAAAGGAAUUGACGGGGGCCCGCACAAGCGGUGGAGCAUGUGGUUUAAUUCGAAGCUACGCGAAGAACCUUACCAGGUCUUGACAUACUAUGCAAAUCUAAGAGAUUAGACGUUCCCUUCGGGGACAUGGAUACAGGUGGUGCAUGGUUGUCGUCAGCUCGUGUCGUGAGAUGUUGGGUUAAGUCCCGCAACGAGCGCAACCCUUAUUAUCAGUUGCCAGCAUUAAGUUGGGCACUCUGGUGAGACUGCCGGUGACAAACCGGAGGAAGGUGGGGAUGACGUCAAAUCAUCAUGCCCCUUAUGACCUGGGCUACACACGUGCUACAAUGGAUGGUACAACGAGUUGCGAACUCGCGAGAGUAAGCUAAUCUCUUAAAGCCAUUCUCAGUUCGGAUUGUAGGCUGCAACUCGCCUACAUGAAGUCGGAAUCGCUAGUAAUCGCGGAUCAGCAUGCCGCGGUGAAUACGUUCCCGGGCCUUGUACACACCGCCCGUCACACCAUGAGAGUUUGUAACACCCAAAGUCGGUGGGGUAACCUUUUAGGAACCAGCCGCCUAAGGUGGGACAGAUGAUUAGGGUGAAGUCGUAACAAGCUAGCCGUAAGCUUCAC
rnacentral:rRNA from 2 species